rnacentral:rRNA from 1 species
CCUACUGGCGGCAGCAGUGGGGAAUAUUGCGCAAUGGGCGAAAGCCUGACGCAGCGACGCCGCGUGAGUGAUGAAGGUCUUCGGAUCGUACACCUCUGUCAGCAGGUACGACCGCUUACUGUGCUAAUCAGCAGUGACUUGACGGUACCUGCAAAAGAAGCACCGGCUAACUCCGUGCCAGCAGCCGCGGUAAUACGGAGGGUGCGAGCGUUAAUCGGAAUUACUGGGCGUAAAGCGCUCGUAGGCGGUAUGUCAAGUCAAGGGUGAAAUUCCCGCGCUAAACGUGGGAACUGCCUUUGAAACUGGGAAACUGGAGUGUGUGAGAGGAUAGUGGAAUUCCAGGUGUAGGAGGGAAAUCCGUAGAUAUCUGGAGGAACAUCAGUGGCGAAGGCGACUAUCUGGCACAUAACUGACGCUGAGGAGCGAAAGCGUGGGGAGCAAACAGGAUUAGAUACCCGGGUAGUC